GUGUCCUGUCCGUCCUGAUGUGUGCUGCUCUAAUGAGUGGGUGGGAGGGUCAGGCAGUGCGACAAAUAAGGACACGGUUCCUGCACGAGCUUUCAUUCUCACUUUUAUUUGCAAGUGCGCUUUGGACCCACAGCCGCCUAAAAUGCGCUAAUUAACCAAACAGGAUUCGCUCGUGCUGUGUGUUUACGCCGGAAUAAUAAACUUUCUCAGCAAAUGUUUUCAAGGGGCCCUUUCUCAUGUGCCAAAGACGUCAUGAUUCGCUGUCUCGGAUGGACUGUUUUCCUGUGGAUCGUAAAUUCCGUUCCUUUUACUUUGGGAAUGACAGUGAAUGAGAGACUAGAUCAUACAUGUCCGCCCAUGAAGCUGGAAGAGAAAUGGCAUACCAAUGUGAACAUCCACAGAGAAUUCACAGGGUUUGAUUUAGCUGAGAAGUUUCUUCUCAGAAAAGGCACUGUGACGGACAACAGGCCGUUGUUGAGACUGGGGAGUAAACCCUUGUUCAAACCGACAGAAUCUGUGUUCCCAAAUGGUCUUUCUCAUGAGUACUCCGUUAUUGCCACGUUCCGGCUCAGAAAAACCACAAAGAAAGAUCGCUGGUUUGUUCUGCAGAUCUUUGAUAAAGGUGGAGAUACACAGGUGUCAUUAAUAGUGGAUGGAGCUAAAAAAACUGUUGAGUUUUUGGCUCAGGGUUUUCUGAAAAACAGCCUCUUGUACGUGUUCAAGAACCGAGACCUGCAUGCCCUCUUCGAUCGACAGUUUCACAAGCUAGGUGUGUCUGUCGAGAGCAAUGGAGUCUCCAUCUACCUGGACUGCAAAUUGAUCGAGCGUCAGGUGACCGCUGAAAGAUCUGGCAUGAACGUGAGCGGACGCACAUUCAUCACCACUCGAGUGGAGGAUGGACGUCCAGUGGAUAUUGAACUUCAGGAGAUUCUGAUCUUCUGUGACGCUAGAAUAGCUGACCUGGACAGAUGCUGCGAUUCUCCUGGAGUUACGUGUGAACCUGUAGUGACCCACAACCCCACAGCGGCCCCACUGGUCACAGGAUACCUCCACAGAAUGCUGUCCAUGCCUGCCCAGCUGCCCAGCGACCGAUGCCACUGUCCCUCUCUGAAGGGGGAUCAAGGGCUUCCAGGUUUGGCAGGACAUUCUGGACAAAAGGGAGAUAAAGGACAAAUGGGUUUAAAAGGAGAUCCUGGACCUCAAGGCCUACCUGGUCUCAAAGGCGAUAAAGGGGAACCAGGCCCGUCGGGUCAAGGAACACUCUCGGCUGAGCAGCAAGCUCAAAAAGGCGACCAGGGUCCCCCCGGAACUCCUGGAGAAAAAGGAGAAGCUGGCCUGCCCGGUCAACCAGGAGUACCAGGGAAAGAGGGCAAAAGGGGUCGACGGGGGGAAAGAGGAGAGAAAGGGACCCCAGGACAACCGGGUCAACCAGGAACAUGUGAUGCUGAAGCUGUCAAGGGUAUGAAGGGUGACCCGGGUGUCGCAGGAAUAGAUGGACAGAAGGGCGAUAAAGGGGAUUCUGGUUUGCCUGGCCUGGAGGGAGCCGGUGGAAUAAAGGGGCAAAAGGGUGAGGAAGGACCCCGAGGACCGCCGGGCCCCGUGAUGACACCACAUGGACUGAGACUUUCUGGACCUGAGGGGGAUGGAGGUGAGAAAGGCCAGAAAGGAGAGAAAGGAGACCAGGGCGAAAAAGGUCCUGAAGGCUCAAAAGGUCUACAGGGCAAUACUGGAUUGCCUGGACUUACAGGGCCGCCAGGACUUGAGGGAAAACAGGGUCCGCCUGGCUCUGUUGGCCUACGUGGUCUUCCAGGAGAUCUGGGCUCUCCCGGUCAGCCAGGACUGCCUGGAAAAGAUGGAAUGAAAGGAGAAAAGGGCGAUGCAGGCGGAGCGGCGGGACCGAUAGGCCCCCCGGGCCUCAAGGGUGAACCAGGUGAACCCUGCUCUGUCGGACCUUGCAAUGGGGAGGAGGUCGCGUCUGGUCUUCGGGGGUUGCGGGGCCCUAAGGGCGAGCGAGGUGUACCUGGAGUCCCCGGAGAUGCUGGAGAGAAAGGAGAACCUGGUAUAGGAAUCACUGGACCCCCUGGUCUGAUGGGAUAUAAAGGAGAACCUGGAAUUCAGGGUCCUCGUGGACCUCCAGGACCGCUUGGAACCCCAGGAAUAAUGGGACCUCCAGGCCCACAAGGCAGACCAGGACCCCCUGGACCCCCCGGAGAACCGACAGCACUACCUAUUGUUGGAGACAUGGGGAUGUUACUAAAGAAUGCCUGCAGUGUGUGUCAGACCAGAGUGCCAGGAUUGCCAGGGCAGAAAGGAGAAAAAGGUUCCCUUGGAGCUCCAGGUAUUCCAGGAAUGGAAGGAGAAAAGGGGGAUCAGGGUCUUCGGGGCCCAGCUGGUAAUCCCGGAAAAGAGGGUCCGAAGGGAGUGAAGGGUGAGAGAGGCUUUCCUGGUCCAAUGGGAGACAAGGGUGAUGAGGGGUCCCCAGGUGUGCCAGGGUUGCCUGGAUCAACAGGCCGUAUGGGCCCACAGGGACUGAUUGGCAGACCAGGACCUGUUGGGCCCUCAGGACCAAAGGGAGAACGGGGCAGCGAUGGACAGCAAGGCAGACCCGGACCUCCUGGACCUCCUGGUGCCCCAUAUGCGGAGGGCAAUGGGAUGAGCAGUCUCUACAAACUUCAGAAUGGAGCUGCUAAUACAGGUCAACCCGGACCGCCAGGGCCCUCGGGGCCCAAAGGAGACGAAGGAAGGAUGGGUGAGCCGGGGCUGAUGGGAUUACCAGGUCUAGAGGGGCUGCCAGGUGCUAAGGGUGAUCCUGGUCUACCUGGUCCACCUGGUGUUCCUGGUCCUACUGGAAAGCCUGGUCCUCGUGGUGAGACAGGAAUCCCUGGAGAACCGGGAGAACGAGGGCCUGUGGGAGAGACUGGCUUCCCUGGACCUGAAGGGCCUCCUGGAUCUUCUGGAAGGCCGGGAAAAGAUGGAAUUCCAGGCUAUACGGGAGCCACAGGCAGACCUGGAGACAGAGGUACUAAAGGAGAACGGGGAGAUCCUGGGAUUCCAGGAGAGAGAGGAGUACAGGGAGAAAGAGGCAAAACUGGAGAAAGAGGGAUCAUUGGUCCUCAGGGGCACCCUGGACAGAAAGGAGAACCAGGCACACUUUUAACAACACCAGGGACCGUCAAUCUGUUGGGUGAUACAGCUGCCUUGGAGGAAAUUAAAACAUUCAUCCGAAAUGAAGUAUUGCGCGUAUUUGAAGAGAGGUUUUCAGACAGUUCCGCUUUGCUACAGAAGACUCCAGCGGCUAUAUUAGCGGCGCAGGGUCGACAAGGUCCUCCAGGGCCACCCGGUAAUGAUGGCUCCCCAGGCCCCCCCGGAGAGUCAGGACCUCCAGGUCCCCAAGGUAGGAGCCAGAACCCGAAAGACUAAACGUGUUACGGACCUCUUUGCGCUGCUCCUACAAUAGUCUCAUCACACACAAAAAAAAAAACCAGAUGCACAAGACUGUGAUUUUAUUUAUAUGACUCAUCUAUUUCCCCAGCAUUAAGCUGCGUUUUUUUGCUUGCUUCAAGGAUUCCAGUUUUUUUUCCCCCUCUUUCUCUCGGUGGAAAAUAGUGUGUUUAUACGUAUCUAUUUUAGUUUGACUUACCGCAUCAGUUGCUUCUCGGAUUGAUUGAGUUACACUGAGCUGAGCAGGUUGAGGUCAUUUUGCUCGAGCUUUGAACCUCAAGUUCAAAGUAAUCUAGCUCACAAAACUAGAAAAUGAGAAAGACGGCCCUCACUAAAGGCAUGCAAAAAUGGCCGCUGAUUGCGAAAUUGGGUGUAAGGUGUUCACAGGAAUCUAGCUAGCUACGUCAGACAAGAAAGAAGCAGAUAGCUGCAUGACAAAGUGGCAUAUGGUGCCGAGAGCCUGGCGGGACAUAUGAAGACGGAUGAAGAACCGACCCAGAAUAGGAGAAUGUAAUAUCGCCCUGGACAGACUUGUGAGAGCAAGAAAGAUAAAGAGAAGAAGUGAGCAGAUGGAAAAAGCCACGCAAUAUCUCACUUUGUUGGAUUAAGCCCAGCCAAAAAAAAAAAAAAACCAAGGAGAGGGAGAAAAUAAGCAAUUCUGAACAUUCAUCAAAGACUGGCAACUAACGUACUGCUCCUGUAGCGUUUCUCAUCAAUAAUGACUUGCAGUUCGGCCCUGCUUCUUCUGUCUGAGUUCUUAAGGACCGUUAACCAUUAGGACAUGAUGUUUUUCAAGAUAUAAGACUAUGUACAUUUGAGUUCUAAAAAAGGGAUAAAACACAUGCUUUGAGUGUGUAUACAUAUGUUAUGUUGCGAACAUUGUGUAAUUGAUAUGCAGUUUGUGUCGAUGCAUUUUCAACAGCAGGUGAAAGUCUGAAAAGCCCAUUUGUAUCACUUUACUGUGCGUUGUGUAGACUUGGAGAAAGAAAUAUUUCUCCAUAAUGCGAGGUAUCAGGAGGAAAUUAAAAACGGGAAUUUUAAACUCCUGCUCAGUCAGAAAUUCAGCAUUUUUUUGUUUUUUUUAAUUUUGUCAGAUGUUGAUGUUGAUGACGAAGUUUGUGGGUAAUAUUUCCUCAUUAUUUUUCGUCAUCCUCCGCUGGAGCCUGUUCUCCUUUGGAAUCCUCAAUUUAACCACUUUUUUUUUUUUUUUUUCACGUGAUGUGCUAAAAUGAAUAGUUUAUGAAGAAAAAUAUCUCUGCAAUCUCGGGUCACUUUACACGUCUGAGUCGCAUUAAUUCCACUCGGGGUCAGUUUUCUUGCGAGUUACACUAAAUGAGAAUUGGCAACGUUUAAUACGUCUUUGUAUCCUCUCUCGUGACCCGAAAGAGGUGGUUUUGCUCGAAAACGCUUCCAAAUGCUGGUGUUGAAUUUAAAUGCUUUUGCUUUGUGAUUUUUGUUGUUGUUGUGCCGUAUAGCUUUACUUAUUAAUUUUUAUUUCAAGUGUGUUCUUAAAAUUAAAUGAUUUAUGUAUCAAAUUGAUGUUUCUUGUGCUCAUGAACCACAUGGUUCAUGCGAUCUGAGAUUCAUAUAACAUCAUAACAUCUAAAACUACUUAUGCAACUGUUUUACAAAGUGUAAUCAGCCAUGCUUUUGUGUAACAUUUAUUUUUUUGGGGACGGGAGGUGGCAUUUUUUUUAAUCCCUUUGUAACUUUUUGUAUUUAAAUCUUCAAGGUUGAUGAAAUCCUCUAACUCGGUUUCAUUUAAAUGUAUCUAAUUUAUACUUUAAGCUGUAUUUCCCUGCAUGCCAAGAACAUACCCAAUUAUACUUAUUAUGCUGUGUGUGCGAUAUCAUACGAAUGUCAAAUAAUGGAUUUUGAUAAUCUCAAUACAACAUUUUUAAAGAUUUUUUUCAAAUUCACUGCUGGUUUCUUUGAGCAAAUCUGCAAAGCGUAUGGAAAUACGGAGCCAUUUUAAGAUUAAUUCAAUGUAAAUAUAUUUCUAUGUAAUAUUUCAUGUUUUCAUUCUCAUUUUUCUUCCUCCACGAGGUUUAGUCUUGUUUUGUGAGUAUGAAAAAUGAUUUUAAGUGUAAGAUCUUAGAAAGAUGACAGUGUGCAGAUGUUGCUGCGGGCUGCGUUUUGCUAGUACUGUAUUGCAGCUCCCCCUGCCGCUUUUUUUUUUCCUGUUAUAACUGUGCAGUAUGAACUCCCCCUCAAGCAGGGGUGGUAAUGCAGUGAUUGUGAGCGGCCACAGGAAGCCAUGAUGUGAUGCCGCAGGGUAUCGAGGGCAGAAAGGGGAACGGGGUCAAAUGGGCUUGGGACUUCCAGGAGGUCCGGGCCCAACUGGCCCACCAGGCUCACCUGGAAUAGGUUUCCAGGGUCCCAAAGGUUCUCCGGGGCCCCA